rnacentral:rRNA from 1 species
CCUAUACAUGCAAGUCGAACGCACAGCGAAAGGUGCUUGCACCUUUCAAGUGAGUGGCGAACGGGUGAGUAACACGUGGACAACCUGCCUCAAGGCUGGGGAUAACAUUUGGAAACAGAUGCUAAUACCGAAUAAAACUUAGUGUCGCAUGACAAAAAGUUAAAAGGCGCUUCGGCGUCACCUAGAGAUGGAUCCGCGGUGCAUUAGUUAGUUGGUGGGGUAAAGGCCUACCAAGACAAUGAUGCAUAGCCGAGUUGAGAGACUGAUCGGCCACAUUGGGACUGAGACACGGCCCAAACUCCUACGGGAGGCUGCAGUAGGGAAUCUUCCACAAUGGGCGAAAGCCUGAUGGAGCAACGCCGCGUGUGUGAUGAAGGCUUUCGGGUCGUAAAGCACUGUUGUAUGGGAAGAACAGCUAGAAUAGGAAAUGAUUUUAGUUUGACGGUACCAUACCAGAAAGGGACGGCUAAAUACGUGCCAGCAGCCGCGGUAAUACGUAUGUCCCGAGCGUUAUCCGGAUUUAUUGGGCGUAAAGCGAGCGCAGACGGUUUAUUAAGUCUGAUGUGAAAGCCCGGAGCUCAACUCCGGAAUGGCAUUGGAAACUGGUUAACUUGAGUGCAGUAGAGGUAAGUGGAACUCCAUGUGUAGCGGUGGAAUGCGUAGAUAUAUGGAAGAACACCAGUGGCGAAGGCGGCUUACUGGACUGCAACUGACGUUGAGGCUCGAAAGUGUGGGUAGCAAACAGGAUUAGAUACCCUGGUAGUCCACACCGUAAACGAUGAACACUAGGUGUUAGGAGGUUUCCGCCUCUUAGUGCCGAAGCUAACGCAUUAAGUGUUCCGCCUGGGGAGUACGACCGCAAGGUUGAAACUCAAAGGAAUUGACGGGGACCCGCACAAGCGGUGGAGCAUGUGGUUUAAUUCGAAGCAACGCGAAGAACCUUACCAGGUCUUGACAUCCUUUGAAGCUUUUAGAGAUAGAAGUGUUCUCUUCGGAGACAAAGUGACAGGUGGUGCAUGGUCGUCGUCAGCUCGUGUCGUGAGAUGUUGGGUUAAGUCCCGCAACGAGCGCAACCCUU